rnacentral:rRNA from 1 species
UGAGGAAUCUUGCGCAAUGGGCGAAAGCCUGACGCAGCGACGCCGCGUGGAGGAUGAAGGUCUUAGGAUUGUAAACUUCUGUUAAGUGGGGAGAAAUACUCCGUUAUAAUACAGCGGAAAGAUGACGGUACCAUUAGAGAAAGCACCGGCUAACUUCGUGCCAGCAGCCGCGGUAAUACGAAGGGUGCGAGCGUUAUUCGGAUUGAUUGGGCGUAAAGGGUGCGCAGGCGGAAUGUUAAGUCAACUGUUAAAUUUCCCGGCUUAACCGGGAGUCAGCGGUAGAUACUGGCGUUCUUGAGGGUGGAAGAGAGAAGUGGAAUUCUCGGAGUAGCGGUAAAAUGCGUAGAUCUCGAGAGGAACACCGAUGGCGAAGGCAGCUUCUUGGUCCAUUUCUGACGCUCAUGCACGAAAGCGUGGGGAGCAAACAGG